rnacentral:lncRNA from 1 species
AAUAGAUCGAUAUUAAACAGAAAUGUUUCAUUAUCAUUUUUCGGCUACAAUUGGUAUAUGAACCAUCCAAAUGUCAAAAUAUCAACAUAGAGUAUUUACAAAGAAUGUUUCUGUUAUGUUGUGCAACUAAAUCUCUACAGCAAAUGGUAGUGACAACACUAGAUGUUAAUUAGGAUCCAGCGAAAAGCCAGGCUUUUGUCCACGAAGGUAGCAAAUUGUCGGUGUGACUAUCGCUGACGGCUUUUGGUAACACACGAUAUGGUUGUUGGUCAUGUUGUUAUCACCAAGGGAAGGUCAUCGUGCUCUUAAUUUCCACACAAACUGAUAUAGCUCCAAAGGUUUAACAAUGAACACCAAUGGACACUCAUGUCAAUUGGAAGGCCACGCGGAAUCAAUAUCGGAGAUGUUAAAGACAAAUGCAUCGGUCAUGCUGGGCUUUUGUUGCUUAAUGUCUAAAUGGACAUGGCCUAUAAUUAAAAGAUCCUUUUGCGGAAUUUGUGGAUUAUUUGGUCAACUGUAUACAGUCUACGAGCAAUUGCAUCCUGGGAAAAGCCUCAUUAGAUAAACCCCAAUUUGUUUGUAAUUGGUUGUCAGAAAGACCUGGCAUAUAGUCUUAUAUUUAUUGAACUUACUUACUUACAAUAAGGGAUAAGCCAGCGAGUAAGUCAGCAAAGGGUUAGGGAAGUACCUUGGUAUAUAAAAAAGUCGAAAUAAACAAUUGCCGGCUGGCCAAGA